rnacentral:tRNA from 1 species
GCGGCCGUGGUCUAGUGGUUAGGACCUUAGCCUUCCAAGCUAACGACCCGGGUUCAAAUCCCGGCGGCCGCA